AACAGGAAACUUCCUCCAACCGUUCUCGCAUCCGACGAGGAUUCUCUUUCUUUCCUCCAACCGUUCAUUUGCCUUCGACAAGCAGCAAGAAACUUCAAGAUCUGUAACGAAAGCUUCUCCCUUUUUCCUCAUAUUUAGAUUAAUCAAUUCUUAAAUUGAUUAAUUCCGUUGUUGUUCCAGGUAAUAGAAGAUCUGCGUUCAGUUAAUCAAUCUCCAGAGUGAUGAGCUAGUCAUGCAUCAUGGACACAACUUGAAAGGAAUAGGGCUAAUGAUAUGGGCUUAAAGACAAAUCAUCGAAGUCUUGGACGUUAGGGCUAAUGAUAUGGGCUUAAAGACAAAUUAGUUAUAGGGCCUAUUUAGACCCAAUUAAUAUCUUGUACUUUUUGAUUUUGUUUUUUAUUUAGGCCCAUCAAAACAAGAUUUAAUAUCAAAUUAUUGCAAAUUCU